rnacentral:rRNA from 1 species
AGUCUGGUGCCAGCAGCCGCGGUAAUUCCAGCUCCAAUAGCGUAUAUUAAAGUUGUUGUGGUUAAAAUGCUCGUAGUUGAACCUUGGGCCUGGCUGGCCGGUCCGCCUCACCGCGUGUACUGGUCCGGCCGGGCCUUUCCCUCUGUGGAACCCCAUGCCCUUCACUGGGUGUGGCGGGGAAACAGGACUUUUACUUUGAAAAAAUUAGAGUGCUCCAGGCAGGCCUAUGCUCGAAUACAUUAGCAUGGAAUAAUAGAAUAGGACGUGUGGUUCUAUUUUGUUGGUUUCUAGGACCGCCGUAAUGAUUAAUAGGGACAGUCGGGGGCAUCAGUAUUCAAUUGUCAGAGGUGAAAUUCUUGGAUUUAUUGAAGACUAACUACUGCGAAAGCAUUUGCCAAGGAUGUUUUCAUUAAUCAGGAACGAAAGUUAGGGGAUCGAAGACGAUCAGAUACCGUCGUAGUCUUAACCAUAAACUAUGCCGACUAGGGAUCGGACGAUGUUAUUUUUUGACUCGUUCGGCACCUUACGAGAAAUCAAAGUGCUUGGGCUCCAGGGGGAGUAUGGUCGCAAGGCUGAAACUUAAAGAAAUUUACGGAAGGGCACCACCAGGGGUGGAGCCUGCGGCUUAAUUUGACCCAACACGGGGAAACUCACCAGGUCCAGACACGAUGAGGAUUGACAGAUUGAGAGCUCUUUCUUGAUUUUGUGGGUGGUGGUGCAUGGCCGUUCUUAGUUGGUGGAGUGAUUUGUCUGCCUAAUUGCGAUAACGAACGAGACCUUAACCUGCUAAAUAGCCCGUAUUGCUUUGGCAGUACGCUGGCUUCUUAGAGGGACUAUCGGCUCAGGCCGAUGGAAGUUUGAGGCAAUAACAGGUCUGUGAUGCCCCUAGAUGUUCUGGGCCGCACGCGCGCUACACUGACGGAGCCAGCGAGUUCUCCCUUGGCCGGAAGGUCCGGGUAAUCUUGUUAAACUCCGUCGUGCUGGGGAUAGAGCAUUGCAAUUAUUGCUCUUCAACGAGGAAUCCCUAGUAAGCGCAAGUCAUCAGCUUGCGUUGAUUACGUCCCUGCCCUUUGUACACACCGCCCGUCGCUACUACCGAUUGAAUGGCUCAGUGAGGCGUCCGGACUGGCCCAGAGAGGUGGGCAACUACCCCUCAGGGCCGGAAAGCUCUCCAAACUCGGUCAUUUAGAGGAAGUAAAAGUCGUAACAAGGUCUCCGUUGGUGAACCAGCGGAGG